CAACAAAAUUUUCGUUCUGUUCAAAAUUAAAUGUAAUUUUCAUGUAACACAAAUUCCCGUUCACAAGCCGUUUGUUCUUCUCAGGACGACCUCUGACGCUUGGCCCUUUCGCCUUGAAGUCUCCAAAGGGCAGAACAUUGCCUUUCAGCGAUCCAGCACGGAUUUAUUAAGGAUUAUAGUGAUACCAGCACUGUGCAGUCGGGAACAUGCAGGUGGAUGCUUCCACGGGCAGCUUCUAUGCGGACUCCAUCUCCAGCUCUGAGUACUGAUUGUUAAGAUCUCGUUUCUCAAUAAAGUUACGCGCUACAGUGAGGGCUAUCCGGGCGGAAUUCUUCAUCGGAUGGAGGACUCCGCUGAUCUGCAACAUGCCAGCACUGGGACCAGCACCAGGCCUGGGAAGAUGGCGCCCUCACUCUGGUCGAAAAGGAAGGCCAUCUUGCGGAUGACCUUCUCGAGCAGAGGUACAGCCUCAAAGCGCUACUUUGAGCACUAAAGCGAUCAACAAGAACUCCACUAGUCUUGGAAGAGGUCCUGGGCCAAGGGAUUUCCCGACUGGUGGGGCAAUCAACCACGAGGGGCUGCUGCUGGAGCAUUCCUGACCUUGCACUCCUGGACUGUGACCUGUGACUGGACAUGGAACUGCUGGCUAACCACCUUCUGGUAGGAUUCGAAUGCUGCACAGCAGCAAGGCAUGCCGCGGCUGGGAAUGCACUGCAAAUAAAACAACAGAAAUUGAAUUCGUUUCGGUUUUGUGAAUGAAAUGACUGCCAGAGGUCAGCAAUAAUUAUAAUUACAAUCAAAGUAAAGAACUAAUUUUUUAAUCGAAUGAAAAACCGAAAAACCGGUUUGGGAUUGAAAAUCUCUUUGCUGUUGAUGUAUCCGAUGAAUCUACUUUAAUUUGGGCAUUAUAUUUAUAGAAUAACUGGUUCAUUAUCGUCUAUAUUUGCUCUGUUCAAUUAUCAUAAUGAACUAGUUUAAUUACUGCCUUGAAGAAAGGUUCGAAGGUUUAUCAAAAUUGACCUUAAAAGCCCAUACGAGUAUUUAUUGCAUUGUUAGAGAUUAUGAUUCCAAAGAAAACCAAAUAAAGUGUGUUUUUUUAAGCAUUUUAAAUGGA
rnacentral:sRNA from 1 species